rnacentral:rRNA from 1 species
GAUGAACGCUAGCGGCAGGCCUAAUACAUGCAAGUCGAACGGUGUCUUCGGACAUAGUGGCGCACGGGUGCGUAACACGUAUGCAACCUACCUUACAUUGGGGGAUAGCCUUUCGAAAGGGAGAUUAAUACCGCAUAAGACAGUAGCUGGGCAUCCAGCAGCUGUUAAAGAUUUAUCGAUGUAAGCUGGGCAUGCGUCCAAUUAGCUAGUUGGUGAGGUAACGGCUCACCAAGGCAACGAUUGGUAGGGGAACUGAGAGGUCAAUCCCCCACACUGGCACUGAGAUACGGGCCAGACUCCUACGGGAGGCAGCAGUAGGGAAUAUUGGGCAAUGGACGCAAGUCUGACCCAGCCAUGCCGCGUGCAGGAUGAAGGCGUUAUGCGUUGUAAACUGCUUUUAUACAGGAAGAAACGACUCUUGCGAGAGGCAUUGACGAUACUGUAUGAAUAAGCACCGGCUAACUCCGUGCCAGCCGCCGCAGUAAUAC